rnacentral:pre_miRNA from 1 species
AUAUGCCUGGCUCCCUGUAUGCCGCUCGCAUGGCUGCCAACCCACCAUGAGAGAUUGAUGAGCUCUCUCUCGUUGUUGGCCGCUGCGUACGGCGUGCGAGGUGCCAAGCAUGG